rnacentral:rRNA from 1 species
GAUGAACGCUGGCGGCGUGCUUAACACAUGCAAGUCGAACGGACUUACUUAUUUUAAUACUUCGGUAAGCGAAUGAAUAAGUUAGUGGCGGACGGGUGAGUAACGCGUGGGUAACCUGCCUUACACCAGGGGAUAACAGUUGGAAACGACUGCUAAUACCGCAUAAGACCACAGUACCGCAUGGUACAGUGGUAAAAGCCGAGACGAUGUAAGAUGGACCCGCGUCUGAUUAGCCAGUUGGCGGGGUAACGGCCCACCAAAGCGACGAUCAGUAGCCGACCUGAGAGGGUGAUCGGCCACAUUGGGACUGAGACACGGCCCAAACUCC